UACGUAGGGUGCGAGCGUUGUCCGGAAUUAUUGGGGCGUAAAGAGCUCGUAGGCGGCCUGUUACGUCUGCUGUGAAAUCCCGGGGCUUAACCCCGGGCGUGCAGUGGAUACGGGCAGGCUGGAGGCAGGCAGGGGAGAACGGAAUUCCCGGUGUAGCGGUGAAAUGCGUAGAUAUCUGGAGGAACACCGGUGGCGAAGGCGGCAUCCUGGACCGGUAUUGACGCUGAGGCGCGAAAGCUAGGGGAGCAAACGGGG
rnacentral:rRNA from 1 species